AGCUGGCAUGACAUAGUGGUUUUAGUGUUUGACUCUGACUCUGGAGAUCAGGGUUCGAUUCCCAGCUCGGCCA